rnacentral:rRNA from 1 species
CAAAGCUUGCUUUUGAAGAUGACGAGCGGCGGACGGGUGAGUAAUGCCUGGGAAUAUGCCUUGAUGUGGGGGAUAACCAUUGGAAACGAUGGCUAAUACCGCAUAAUGCCUACGGGCCAAAGAGGGGGAUCUUCGGACCUCUCGCGUCAAGAUUAGCCCAGGUGGGAUUAGCUAGUUGGUGAGGUAAUGGCUCACCAAGGCGACGAUCCCUAGCUGGUCUGAGAGGAUGAUCAGCCACACUGGAACUGAGACACGGUCCAGACUCCUACGGGAGGCAGCAGUGGGGAAUAUUGCACAAUGGGCGCAAGCCUGAUGCAGCCAUGCCGCGUGUGUGAAGAAGGCCUUCGGGUUGUAAAGCACUUUCAGUCGUGAGGAAGGUUCUUACGUUAAUAGCGUAAGGAUUUGACGUUAGCGACAGAAGAAGCACCGGCUAACUCCGUGCCAGCAGCCGCGGUAAUACGGAGGGUGCGAGCGUUAAUCGGAAUUACUGGGCGUAAAGCGCAUGCAGGUGGUUUGUUAAGUCAGAUGUGAAAGCCCGGGGCUCAACCUCGGAAUUGCAUUUGAAACUGGCAGACUAGAGUACUGUAGAGGGGGGUAGAAUUUCAGGUGUAGCGGUGAAAUGCGUAGAGAUCUGAAGGAAUACCGGUGGCGAAGGCGGCCCCCUGGACAGAUACUGACACUCAGAUGCGAAAGCGUGGGGAGCAAACAGGAUUAGAUACCCUGGUAGUCCACGCCGUAAACGAUGUCUACUUGGAGGUUGUGGCCUUGAGCCGUGGCUUUCGGAGCUAACGCGUUAAGUAGACCGCCUGGGGAGUACGGUCGCAAGAUUAAAACUCAAAUGAAUUGACGGGGGCCCGCACAAGCGGUGGAGCAUGUGGUUUAAUUCGAUGCAACGCGAAGAACCUUACCUACUCUUGACAUCUAGAGAAGCCAGCGGAGACGCAGGUGUGCCUUCGGGAACUCUAAGACAGGUGCUGCAUGGCUGUCGUCAGCUCGUGUUGUGAAAUGUUGGGUUAAGUCCCGCAACGAGCGCAACCCUUAUCCUUGUUUGCCAGCGAGUAAUGUCGGGAACUCCAGGGAGACUGCCGGUGAUAAACCGGAGGAAGGUGGGGACGACGUCAAGUCAUCAUGGCCCUUACGAGUAGGGCUACACACGUGCUACAAUGGCGCAUACAGAGGGCUGCCAACCAGCGAUGGUGAGCGAAUCCCAAAAAGUGCGUCGUAGUCCGGAUUGGAGUCUGCAACUCGACUCCAUGAAGUCGGAAUCGCUAGUAAUCGUGGAUCAGAAUGCCACGGUGAAUACGUUCCCGGGCCUUGUACACACCGCCCGUCACACCAUGGGAGUGGGCUGCAAAAGAAGUGGGUAGUUUAAC